AACAGAAAGCCUACUUUGAAAAGUGAGGAAUGCCUCAGCCUUGCAAAUGCAAUUGAACCCGAGGGUAUCCACAAGUGUCUGAAGGGGAAGCAGAAAGGAGGGGAUUUUGGGCUAAAUAUCAGCAGCAGGAUUCUGCAGAUCUCCCUGGGGCUGCACUCUCUGGGCUUGCUGGAUAUAAGCUGUUGGAUGAAAAAUCCCCACAUUGUCCUGUGGAAAUUCUUCAGAAGGAUGGAAAGUGUGACCAAAGAACUUUUACAAAGUGCAGAUGGCUAAAAUGAGAUUUUUUCUGAAUAAAGAGUUGGCCCCAGAGAGACUUUGGAGUAGAUUUCUGCUUAGAACAGGUAGACGAACUCACUUUUGGGUUUUUUUUUGACCAAAUGAACAUGGGGAUCUAGGAGGGAAGAGAUCAUUUUAGAGAUGUGGAAAUUGUUACCUUCAUUGAUUGAUUUAUUGACUGCGUGACUUUGGCUCCCUAAGAUAGGGAACAACUUGUGGUCUGUGCAGAUGAUUCAACUCACAAAAUAUAUUUACAGGUGAGCAUCAUGAGUCUGUGUUGUAUAUAAUACUCUAAAAUGCAUGUAGAAUCUGCAAGUCCAUCUACAACAUUAUUUUUUGUAGGAUGAGAAACAUACUUAGCACAGGCAGAACAGUAAUAUCAGAACUGUCUAAAAAUGUAUUUCUGUGACACUUUUAUCUUUCAGCCCUUUGGCUCAAGUCGAGUUAUAAGCAUUAAAAGACAAGC